CCUACGGGUGGCAGCAGUGGGGAAUAUUGGACAAUGGGCGCAAGCCUGAUCCAGCCAUGCCGCGUGAGUGAUGAAGGCCUUAGGGUUGUAAAGCUCUUUUAGCAGGGACGAUAAUGACGGUACCUGCAGAAAAAGCCCCGGCCAACUUCGUGCCAGCAGCCGCGGUAAUACGAAGGGGGCUAGCGUUGCUCGGAAUCACUGGGCGUAAAGCGCACGUAGGUGGGUCGUUAAGUCGGGGGUGAAAUCCCAGAGCUCAACUCUGGAACUGCCUUCGA
rnacentral:rRNA from 1 species